rnacentral:rRNA from 1 species
GACAGAGGGGGCAAGCGUUGCUCGGAAUUACUGGGCGUAAAGGGCGCGUAGGCGGUUCGCUAAGUUGAAUGUGAAAACUCUGGGCUUAACCCAGAGCCUGCAUUCAAUACUGGCGGGCUAGAGUUCUGGAGGGGAUAGCGGAAUUCCUGGUGUAGCGGUGAAAUGCGUUGAUAUCAUCAGGAACACCGGUGGCGAAGGCGGCGUCACUGGGUCUCUACUGACGCUGAGGUACGAAAGCCAGGGUAGCGAACGGG